rnacentral:lncRNA from 1 species
CAAAUUUAUUUAUUUAUAAAAUAUUUUACCAGGAAGGAUACAUUGAGAUUUCUCUUGUUUUCAAGUAUGCCCUGGGCCCACAAACAUUGCAUUUUUACAAUAGGAUACAAUAUUACAAAAAUUUAACACAUAACAAGUGAUAAAUAUAUUCAACCAUGAUAGGUGCAUUCUGUGCUGAGGUAUAUCAUCAUAUAUUUCUUAAACUAUUUUAGAUUGAAUGAAGAUUUGACUGUGUCCCGGAGGUUAUUCCAUAUUUCCCUAUUGUAGGAAAAUGAGGAUCGAGCCAUUUUAUUUUUGAAUUUCGGUAUGCUAAAUAUCGUGCUAGUACUGGAGUGAAGGUGGAAACAGCUGGGGAGAGCAUUCUACUCAGGUAGGGUGGGAGCUUUCCAGAAAAGCUCUUAUACACAAGGCUGGAAAGAUGAAGAGUGCGUUGGGAUUCCAUCGAUAGCCAGUUUAGCUCUUUUAACAUGUCACAAUGGUGGGUAAAGUAAUUACAUUCUAGUACAAAGCGGAAGAAUGAAUUAUAUACGUUAUUAAGGUGGGUUUGCGAUGUAGGUGCAUACACGACAUCCCCAUAAUAAGUGACCGGCUUUUUCAUUUGUUACAUUGUUUCCUUACUGUAGGACUUAGGCAGGAUUUGUUUCUGUACAUGGCACCUAGUUUUGGGUAAAGUUUAUAAGAGUUUUUUUUUUUUUUUUCAAUGUGAUAACGGAGAAUCCUUUUUAUUAUUAAAGUAAUGCUGUAGGCACCCGGACCACUUCGGCUCAUUGAAGUGGUCUGGGUACAAUGUCCCAUGUCCCUUAACCCUAAAGUGGUAAUUAUUGCAGUUUCUCAGAAACUGCAAUAAUUACCUCUGAGGGUUAACUCCUCCACUAGUCGCUGUCUACCAGACAGCCACUAGAGGGACUUCCGGAGUUGAAACGGACCUUUGGAGGUCCUCAUGCGUCAGAUUUUCCCCAUAGGAAAGCAUUGCUGCGCAUGCACAUUAGGUCUCCCCCGUCAGCAGGGGAGGAGUGUGGGUGGAUUCUACUAAGCGAGGAGGUAAAUCAGCUGGAUUCAGGUAAGUGAAGGGUUUUUAACUCCUUCAGUACCAUAGGAGGGAGGGGGGCACUGCAGGAGCCUAUAGUCAUCCAGGAGCCAAAUCUCUCCCAAAUCGUUUGACAAAAAAAAAAAAAGUUAGGGGGAAUGAAAUGUAAAAGAUUUGUGAAGUGGCCAUACAUUGCUAUCAUUCUUACAGCAAAAUUUAUGCUGAAGUGCUUUAUGUGUGUGUUAAGUGUAUCUUAUUCCCCUUUUCAUUUUACAUAGAAAUUGGCACUUUUAUAUAUUAAAUACACCCCUGGUUGUCAGACAACCACUACUGUUACUUCCUAUCUUAAGGCAGGCAAUUGCCCAGAGCACCUGCCGCCUUGCAAAGACUUCUCAUUAAGCUGGAUUGGGAAGUCUGAUUGGACAGCUAUAGAAAGUAUUGGUGGGGUUAGAAAGGAAGGGCUUGAAAAGGCAGUAGACAAGAGAUCUGCAGCUUUUGCAAGUUGUUCUAAGAUAUAUCCCCAAUGAAAAAUGCAUAAUUAGAUUCAUGCUUAUUUUCAUUAGGGGUAGGGAUGGGCCGAUAUUGAUUUUUUUUAGAGCCGAUGCCGAUAAUCUGUGAUCUUUCAGGCCGAUAACUUACCGAUACUCUGUACAUUUACCAUUUAAAAAAAUAUAUAGAUUUCUUUACACAAAUCUACUGUUAACUGAACAUGUUUUUCAUUUAUUUGCAAAAAAUAUUUAUUAAGGUAAAUGUACAGAAUAUAUUUCUGUGUGUGUAGUGGAUGCAGUGAGAGUAUUUGAUUAGUGAAUGCAGUGUGUGUAUGUGUGUUUGUGUACUGGAUGCGUAGUGUGUGUAUAUAAUGAAUGCAGAGUGUGUUUGUGUAGUGUGUAUAGUGAAUGCAGUGUGUGUAUAUAAUGAAUGCAGAGUGUGUUUGUGUAGUGUGUAUAGUGAAUGCAGUGUGUGUAUAUAAUGAAUGCAGAGUGUGUUUGUGUAGUGUGUAUAGUGAAUGCAGAGAAUGUGUGCUUGUGCAGUGAGUGUUUGUGCAGGUAUGUUAAGUGUGUAAAACUUUUCUUUAAAAAAAAAAAAAGUUACAUUGUUU